GCAAACAAGUUAAUAAACUAAAAACUAUCUCAAAGAUCAAGAGCUGUUUAGUAGCAAAGCAACAAACUCUCAACCUAGCACAAAGAAAAUGAGGAUUUGGCUUGGCAAAGGAAACAGGCACCAGGGCAUGAGAGUAGACAGCCAGUUCAGAGAGAAAUAACUACCCUGGAUGUCUGAAACCAAAGUAGCAGACACCUGGAAAACAUAAUGCAGAAAAUGAAAAGAAGGAUUUGAUUUUGAUAUCUAUCACAUCAAUGGUCAUGAAAAGUAAAAUGGAGAAGUGACAUAUUCAUUUAUUUGAGCUACUAUAUUCCGCUCCAAAAGUCGAAGAAAAGAGCUUAUGGGCAAGAUAGUCAUGUCCGAGUUAAACUGUGA